UUCCACUCUUCUAGCUGCCCUCCUUUACAUCAUACAGCUCUUACUCUGCCAAACAACAUCUAUUAGGAGUCACAAAGCUCCUUACGUUGAAGACACAAAGCCACUGGGCCCACAACUAAUUUCAAGUUUUUCUCUCUGUCCUCUCAAGCUUCUACCAUCUCACUACUCUCUUCUUCAGAUGCGAUACGGCCAUUCAUGGCCUCUUCCACAACCCUGUCUUCACACCGCCUGCUGGUCUCUCCCUUUAUUGAUUCCUUUUGAGUUGCUGCACGGAACACAGAGCUGAGACUUGAUGAUCAGGCAUGCCAUGGUUCACACAGCUGUAUGGUAGCCUUGGAACUACAGCAUCUUUAGAAAAAUCCUUCGGGAAGAAAAGAAGAGAAUAAGACCAAAUGAACUGUACGAUGACCAGGUUCACAAGUGUUCUGAAGCCACUCAAAGACUUCUCAAUGGACGAGCAAAUCCGGUAUCAGAAGGGUGAAUGAGAAAGUGAAUGAGGAAGCAGAAACGGCACACGGUUCUGGUUCAAAUCCACAUGUGAUGAGAAGACUCU